rnacentral:rRNA from 1 species
CAACGUUUCGAAAGGAACGCUAAUACCGCAUACGCCCUACGGGGGAAAGCAGGGGAUCUUCGGACCUUGCGCUAAUAGAUGAGCCUAAGUCGGAUUAGCUAGUUGGUGGGGUAAAGGCCUACCAAGGCGACGAUCUGUAGCGGGUCUGAGAGGAUGAUCCGCCACACUGGGACUGAGACACGGCCCAGACUCCUACGGGAGGCAGCAGUGGGGAAUAUUGGACAAUGGGGGGAACCCUGAUCCAGCCAUGCCGCGUGUGUGAAGAAGGCCUUUUGGUUGUAAAGCACUUUAAGCGAGGAGGAGGCUCCUAUAGAUAAUACCUAUAGUGAGUGGACGUUACUCGCAGAAUAAGCACCGGCUAACUCUGUGCCAGCAGCCGCGGUAAUACAGAGGGUGCGAGCGUUAAUCGGAUUUACUGGGCGUAAAGCGUGCGUAGGUGGUCUUUUAAGUCGGAUGUGAAAUCCCUGAGCUUAACUUAGGAAUUGCAUUCGAUACUGGGAGACUAGAGUAUGGGAGAGGAUGGUAGAAUUCCAGGUGUAGCGGUGAAAUGCGUAGAGAUCUGGAGGAAUACCGAUGGCGAAGGCAGCCAUCUGGCCUAAUACUGACA